rnacentral:rRNA from 1 species
CCUACGGGCGGCAGCAGUAGGGAAUAUUGCUCAAUGGUGGAAACCCUGAAGCAGCAACGCCGCGUGGAGGAUGAAGGUUUUCGGAUUGUAAACUCAUUUUGUUAGAGAAGAUAAUGACGGUAUCUAACCAAUUAGCAUCGGCCAACUCCGUGCCAGCAGCCGUGGUAAGACGGAGGGCGCAAGCGUUACACGGAAUCACUGGGCGUAAAGAGCGCGUAGGCGGGAUAGCAAGUCAGAUGUGAAAUCCUAUGGCGUAACCAUAGAACUGCAUUUGAAACUGUUAUUCUAGAGUAUGGGAGAGGUAGGUGGAAUUCUUGGUGUAGGGGUAAAAUCCGUAGAGAUCAAGAGGAAUACUCAUUGCGAAGGCGACCUGCUAGAACAUAACUGACGCUGAUGCGCGAAAGCGUGGGGAGCAAACAGGAUUAGAUACCCCAGUAGUC